UGCCUUGUCUUGACAGGGUUUUUUUAAAGCUUUCUUGUGUAUUUGAGGCUGGGGAAGGGUGUCUAGUUACCAGUUUCAGACACAUGGGUCUUCUAUCCACAUACCAGCUACAGAAUGAAGAGCGUAGCCUUGAAAUUGGCAGGCUUUGGCCUUCCUACCUUAAAAAGUUACACCAUUUUUUGUGUAGUGGCAUAUGGCAUGCUCUGAGGCUGCAAUUUGAACAAAAAAAAGGUAGCAGAAAUAUUGCUAUUCUUCACUCCAAAGCAUAAAGCAGUUCUGAGAGGUGGAGCAUACUGCAGGAGUGAAAAAAUAUAAAGACAGAAAAGUCUUAUAUAACACAGCGAGGGCAUUCUUCCAUUUCAAACUUUUUCUGAUUAAGGAGCAUUCAAGAUGUAGCAUUUCCAUUCCAUGCUUUACUGAAAAUGGAAGGAAUAAAUUCUGUCCUGUGAGUAACAGACUGGCUGAUUGUUUAGAGCAUUGCUUUCAAAAAAUAAAGAUCUAAUAUGGAAAAGCAGUAGCAUGUGCUCUUGUCCUUUUGGGUCUCACUGUAGGAUCCAGGUGAUACAGACUGGUAAAAUGACUUUGGGGACUGUUCUUUUGAAGACAGCAACAGGACCUUGUGUGCCAGUGUGACUUUUGAAACACACUAUGCCAUUUGCAAACUAGACACUUUUCAGAAAUCCAGAAAGUGCCGUACAAGCAGGUAUUUAUGUGCUCACUGUGCAGGAAAGCAGAGCUUUCUAUCAUUUGGUCAAGGAGGAAGUGGCUUCUUCAGUACUGGAAAUAACUGAAAGUUCUGAACAUAAGGGUACUGUGGCAGUUUGUAGGAUGCUAUCUCCCAUGAACUGAGCUGGCCUGGAAAGAAUGUUUAAUGUGCCUGACAAGAAGCUCUGCUCAGUUAUCCUGAACUUCAGGGUGAGCUGAGCCUCCUAGCAGCUGCUACUGUCAUUUAUUGGUAGGCCCUACCAAAGCCAGUGGAAAACAGUGCCACCCUGACGAGUUGCUUGGAGGAGUGAAAGGCAGAGAAACAUCUCCAGUGCAGUGGGGCUGCCUGGAGUACAAUUCAUAUGACAUAUCUGUGACAGCAGUGGACUCUUUUUACUGCCUCUAUGAGACCAUGUGCAUCUGGGUGAAUGACUCUGCUCUUCAUAUUGUAUACAAUAGUGUUUCUGUGAUGAAAUUUGGCAGUGUUGAGGUCACAGGGCACUCCAUUUGUCUGUUCUCAUAUCAUACAGAGAAUAACCUAUUGCUGUUUGUUUAGCUAACACAAUGGAGCUCCAGUCUGUGAUAGAGUUUCUCUUGUGCUCUCAUCAUGCAAAUAAGUAAACAGUGAUAUUAAAAAGAGGGGGGGACAAAUGUGUUGUCUUGAGUAGAGCAGGUUGGAUAUUCCAGCAUGUUUCAAGCUGUAUGAAGCACCCUGUGGGAUUUGGCCUUGCAUGUUUCAGUGUAAAUUUUUUUUUUCUUAGCUUUGGAGGGAAGAUAAGAAGCUUUCACUGCUAUACCAAAGCAUCCAUAUCAUAUAUUUAUAUGUUCUACAGGACUACAGAUUUCAGGCGAUUGCCAAGCAUUUUCUGAUUCAGGGAAGUACAGCAGGGAUUUCUGUAAAUAUUCCAUUAAGAGAUCAGUUUGCUGUAGGAGCCUUGUAGAAUUCUGCCUGCAGGACAGACUAACUUUAAGCAUUUGUGUAUGUGGCAACCUGCUCUAAUUAAGGUAUCACCUGUUCAUGGCAACAGUGUUAGCAAAGGUAAAUCCAGGCAUGGCUUCUGUUGGGGUUCUGAGAGGAGUGAAUUGACUGUCUUGGGUUUUAGUGGAAAAUGGAAGGGUCUCUAAAUGGUGCUUCUGUCUUAGGAAUUAAAGCCUGUUUGGUAAAAGGAAUAAGCUUGACCCUUAUGAGUAACAUGAGUGGUGAUAUAACUACAUUAACGCUAGGUGUUGUGUAAAUAUUUCAAUUUAGGAAAAUGGUACUGCUAACUUACAUUAUGUAACUUAGCAAUAUUCAGGGGUUUCUAAGAACUGAGAGAUGGAAUCCAGGUCACGCUGUCCCUGGGUAUCUUUCCAAUUUGACACUAGUAAUACAUUUAAUCCCUCAAGCAUUACAGACCUUAAGAUGAAGCUGUCCAUGUGAGAAGUAAUUGCAGUGACCCACAGGUUUUACAAAAACAUGGAAGGUAGUCUGACAGCCCUCCACUUCCUUCUUUCCACUCAAAAUAUUUCAGAAAGGUAGAAACUAUAUUUGGCUUGAAUUUUACUGAGUAGCUUCCUUGCAUUACAGUUUAUUGCAUCUGGGUUUUUCUAAGACACCACUAUCAGAAGUGUCUCUGUGUAAACCAACUGCAGAAUAAGCCGUUAUCUUUACUGUGCUACAGAAUUAAGUUAUGGAGCCCAUGUCAAAGAGAAUGAAAGACCUACAGAGUGGAGUAAAUCAUCACUCUGAUAUAAUUCACAGCAAAAUACACCCAAAAGAACUUAAUUAUUUGUAUGCCACUGGUUAAUAUGCUGGCGUAAAUAGGUGUUUCCUGAAAUGAGGUUGUGGUAAGGUGUCAGUCUCUUUUACCAAGUAACAAGCAAUAGGGCAAGAGGAAAUGGGCUCAAGUUGUGCCAGAGAAAAUUUAGAUUGGAUAUCAGGAAAAAUUUCAUCAUUGAAGCAUCACUCAAGCACUGGAACAGGCUGCCCAGGGAAGUGGUGGAGUUACCAUCCCUGAAGUUAUUUAAAAGACAUGUAGUUGUGAUGCUUAGAGACGUGGUUUAGUGGUUCCCUUGGCAGUGCAAGGUUAGUGGUUGGACUUGAUGAUCUUAGAGAUCCUUUCCAACCUAUAUGAUUCUAUGAUUCCUCUUUUGUACCAUUAAUUAAGGAACACUCACAAGUAUUGGUAAAUGCCAAAAUGGUGUAAAUAAUCUAAGUUAAAAGGAGGGGGAAAUUAAACAUGAGGUAAAAUGACUUCCUCAAAGCCAUGCACAGAACAUGUGCCAGAGAGGACUAGUCCUGACUCCAAGUCAUAUUUUCAGGCCGUGAACAGACUUCUUUUCUUCACAUGAGAUUAAAGUAUAAUGGUGGAAUAUCUCUUUUAGGUAGCAGAAAUACUUCUUUCAUGCUUGAGUUUGCCAGAUUGUUGCAUGUGAUUGAUGAAAAGCUGGAGGUGAUAUUCCUAACCACUGAAACAGCAGAAUCCUGAAGGGGACAUCUUUGUCCAUCAUCUUCGAUACCUACAGCCUGAUUUUCUUCUCAUUCAGUUUAUACAACCUUAAUUCCUCUGAACACAUAGAAUUAAAGCAAGCCUGUAAUGUGCUUUGGCCUAGACUCUGGGGGAAAGCAACUCUCCAGUGUGCACGGGAAUUAAGUCUUGAUGACUUGCUCAGUCCUCGUGCUGACUCAGAGGUGGACAGGCAACAUGCCGAGAAAGUAUGAAGGGUGGGAGUUUUGAAAUGCCUUGGACUAAUUUCCCUUUUUGGUUAAAUCAGUGUUAAAACUACAGUGCAUUAGGAUUAUCCCAGAUUUACUGAACAAAAAGGUCAUGUGUCACCCUUUCUGUUUUUUUCUUUGAUAAAUCAGCAGAGUUUUGUUUUCAUAAUGAAUGUUAAAAAUAAAACCUAAAAAAAGCAUACUUCAGAACAAAAAAGCAGCUUUUUACAAGUAUUUCUACCCUAAGAGCAGGCUCAUAGAAAGUAAAAACUGAAAGCCAUGAGCCCUCUGCUCAUGCUAGAAAAUGUUUAUUAACCUGCAUUUGUGCUUUUUGUAGAUAUUUAUAAAGAUUACUUUGGCUCUGUAUUGAUGACCAUUUGUAAUAAAAUGUCAAAUGCUCUCCA